rnacentral:rRNA from 1 species
CCUACGGGAGGCAGCAGUGAGGAAUAUUGGUCAAUGGACGAGAGUCUGAACCAGCCAAGUAGCGUGAAGGAUGACUGCCCUAUGGGUUGUAAACUUCUUUUAUAUGGGAAUAAAACGUUCCACGUGUGGGCUUUUGUAUGUACCAUAUGAAUAAGGAUCGGCUAACUCCGUGCCAGCAGCCGCGGUAAUACGGAGGAUCCGAGCGUUAUCCGGAUUUAUUGGGUUUAAAGGGAGCGUAGGUGGAUUGUUAAGUCAGUUGUGAAAGUUUGCGGCUCAACCGUAAAAUUGCAGUUGAAACUGGCAGUCUUGAGUACAGUAGAGGUGGGCGGAAGUCGUGGUGUAGCGGUGAAAUGCUUAGAUAUCACGAAGAACUCCGAUUGCGAAGGCAGCUCACUGGACUGCAACUGACACUGAGGCUCGAAAGUGUGGGUAUCAAACAGGAUUAGAUACCCCUGUAGUC